GUGAAAGUGAAGUUGCUCAGUCGUGUCCGACCUUCGCGACCCCUCAGACUGCAGCCUUCCAGGCUCCUCUGUCUUUUCCAGGCAAGAGUACUGGAGUGGGGUGCCAUUGCCUUCUCUGACCAUCUACUUAAAUGUACUCAUUUCCUGUGCAGAUAUUCAUAGAUGUGGUUAGAGACUCUUUGAUUGCUGUAGCUGCUGGAAUACCAAAACUAUAGGAGAAUUUUUAUCCAAAUAAAUAUAUAAAGACUGACUGUGGCUGCACAGUGAUCUUAUUCUAAAAGCUUUCGUGCUUCCCUCCAUCCUACCAUUGUAUUGUGGAAAGAAUAUUGGCGUCACUGGGACAAUUUAUUGUUCUCAUACAUUCCUGGUAUGUAUAUCUUGCCUAAAUGUUGGGAUGGCAUUUCUGUUUUUAUCUCUGUGCAUGAGGGAGUGAGGGAUAAGUCAUACCUUAUGACUCCCCAUCUCUCCUGUGAGCGAUGAUAACAACAGGGUGAGUCAUCAUAUAUUAUACACACAGCUUAUUUUUCUUCCUCUUUCUUGAGAAGGGCUGCAAAUGCUGAAGAUGACAGUUAAGGAAGAUGAAAACUCCAUAAAAGUUUUUAGCUAUGAAGACUAAGACCCAUAUGAACAUCUGAAUACAAAUCUUUCAACAGCCCUAUGUUAUCAUUUGCCUUGAAUAAAUAGAAGUGGAAAUGCUGGAUCAAAUGGUAACUGUGCAUGCAUGCUUAGUCAUGUCCAACUCUUUGCGACCCUAUGGACUGUAGCCCACCAGGCUCCUCUGUCCGUGGGAUUCUCCAAGGAAGAAUACUGGAGUGGGUUGCAUGCCCUCCUCCAGGGGAUCUUGCCAACAUAGGGAUCGAACCCACGUCUCUUGCGGCUCAUGCAUUGGUCGACGGAUUCUUUACCACUGAGCAGCCAGGGAUACACAGAAGUGGGAAUGGUAGAUCGAAUGGUAAAGGGCGGGGCUCAUGCCAAACUACAGUGGAGGUAAUGAAGAUAAGGGCGACCUCCUUCCAAAGGUCUCAUGCAUGCCCUGCUACACUCAGCGCCCCCAGCCCUGCAGCAGGCCACCAUCGACCACACCUCUGCCAGAGACUCCUGGACACUCACAGGCAAGUCUGGGUUGGUCUCUUGUGGGGUCAGUGCUCCUUUCUCCUGGGUUCUGGUAAUCACAGGGUUCUUUGUCCCCUCACAGAGUCUGUUUUCCAAUCCUGUAUAAGUUCUGGCAGCUCUAUGGUGGGUUAAUGGUGACCUCCUCCAAGACGGCUUAUGGCAGACCUAGGUCUGCUGCACCCAGAGCCCCUGCCCCCGCAGCAGCCCACUGCUCACCUGUGCCUCCUCAGGAGACACCCAAACACAGUUCUGUCUCAGUCUCUGUGGGGUCUCUGGGUCCUGGUGCAUACAAAGUAUGUUUGAGCCCUCUGAGCAUCUCUGGUGGCUAUGGGGUUUGAUUGUAAAUGCGAUUUUGCCCCUCCUACUGUCUUAUCGGGGCUUCUCCUUUGCCCUUGGAUGCGGGAUAUCUCCUCAAAGUCACUCCAGCACUGCGUAGCCACCACUCCAGUGCUUCAACCUGAGCCCCAUGCAAAUAUCUCAAACAUAGAUAAAAGAUUUUAAUAAAAUAUGAGUAAAUUGACUCUAGUAACAUACAAAAAGCUUAAUAGAGCACUAUGGAGCAGGGUUCAUUCUGGGGAGUCAAGGAUAAUUUGAUAUCAUAGAAUCAAUGAAAUUCACUAUGUUAACAGACUGAAUGAGAAAAAAUGAUAUUCUCAUAUCAAUAGACAUUUGACAAAAUCAACACCCAUUUAGGAUUUUUAGAAACUAGGAUAAAGGGAAUUUCCUUAACCAAUGAAGUAUAUAUUGAAGAGCCCCUAUAGCUAACACUAUAAGAAACUAAAUACUUUCUUCCUAAGUUUUGGACCAAAAAAAUGAUGCCCUUUGUUACUACAUAUGUUGAAUGAUAUCAAAGAAAUCCCAGGUAGCACAAUAAGAGAAAAAAAUAAAAGUUAUAGAGCUUGUAAAGAUGUUAAACUAUUCUUAUUCACAAAUCACAUGUCUAUGUAGAAACUCAUAAAAAACAAACCCUUGAGAUUAAGAGUUUACAGGAUACAAGGCCAGUAUGCAAAAGUCAAUUACUUUUCUUUAAAUAAGCAAAGAGCCAAUUCAGUGGAAAAGAUCCUAAUGCUGGGAAAGAUUGAGGGCAAGAGAAGGGAGUGACAGAGAAUGAGAUGGUGGG